UUGUUGUGAGAGGCCAUUGCUACAUUUGGUUGUGCGAAGCGGCAAUGAUCCUCCGUCCGAAACCUAGACGCUUUGGUGCGCGCCUGUGAUGUGCUUCAUUCAGACGAGAGGCCACCAUCAGACUCUUCAUUUUCUUUUACUUCUAUCCAGAAGUGAAUGAAGAGGAAGUUCUGGGAGUGUAUGGUGAUGGUGAGAACCCUAGAGAACGUCUACAGGGUCUCCAAAAGGAAAUGACUCAAGAGCAAGAACACAGGAGGAAAGAGAUGGAGGAGAUGGAGAGGGAAAUGAUGAGGUUGGAAAGAGAAAAAAAAGAAAAUGCAGGACAUAGAAAGAGAAAUUGAAAAGACAAAAGGCUGACCUUCAAAGGCUGUCAGCUGCAGCAGACAAACACACACAUACAUUUCCAUACACGUCACUCUGCACCUCUGUCUUCUGUACAGUUCUGUCUCAUAAGAUUACACAGUAUUCGAGAGGAGCCAGCUGAGGUGGCUCGGGCAUCUGUUCAGGAUGCCUCCCUGGGGAGGUGUUCCGGGCAUGUCCCACUGGGCCCAGGGAAGACCUAGGACACGCUGGAGGGACUAUACCAGGGGUCGGCAACCCAAAAUGUUCGAAGAGCCAUAUUGGACCAAAAAAACAAAAAACAAAUCUGUCUGGAGCCGCAAAAAAAUUAAAAGCCUUAUAUAACCCUUAUAUGAAGGCAACACAGGCUGUAAGUGUAUAUUAGCUAUAUUAGCCUAC